ensembl:lncRNA
CCAGUUCUGCUUUGCACUGUUUUAGAGCUCUUCUUUCUCAGACUCAUAGAGGUUCGGUUCGUUUUCUUAGGCCACUGUCAUGUGCAUCUGUGCUGUCUCAUUUCCCUGAAAGCUUUUCUCUAGCCCUGAGAUUGCUGCAGAAGAUGAUCUGAAACCUAACAGACAUGAUUUUGAACUCAGGCUGGCCUGGAACUCACUGUGUAGCCCAGGCUGGCCUUGUACUCUCAAUGAUCCUCCUGCCUCAGCCUCAGUGCUGGGAUUCUAGGAUGGAAGAAUAAAGUUACUAUCAUUUCAGUGCACAGUGUUUCAAAAUCUCACACUUACGAGGCAGGCUUUCCUGCUGUUACAUCCUUGUCAUCCAAAGUGGAUACCUCAGAGUUGCACAAGAUUGCUGUGCUGCAAUGUGCUAUGAUUUACUUUUCUCUAACAAACAAGAGAAGAAUUACAGGACUUUGAGAGCUGAGAUGGAGGAAGAAACCAGGAAAAAAUGGAAAUGCUUAUACUUCUUCAUUUUGACAUGGUUCCUUCAGAAAUCUGAUACUAAGUAUCUUUCUGCAUCUGGAGGAGGGAAGAAAGAGACCAUCCAGGCAUUCUGUACAUAAUGUUGAAAUAAAACCCUCUAUUGUCCACCAAGACAAUAGGGCUAGUCUAUAAUAAUGUAGUACAAGUAGGGCAUAAAUGACAUAAGCCAGCAAUGCAAUCUUUGUUCUGGUGUAAUCUUCCAUAUCAACCAUCUACACUCCCAGAGCUAGGAGAAUGGCCUUUCUCCCAUUUCCCAUAACUCGCUACCACUUCCCUCCCCUUGCUCUAUAGAAAGUAGUGUAACAGGGCUCCCCUUUGGGAUGACUAACCAUGUUUGACAACAUAGGAGCUAACCUAAAUCUUGGUCAAAAUCUCACACCAAGCCAAAACUGCGCACAUAAACAAAAUUAGUCAGCUUUGUUUGUUUAAAGUUUGCAGAAAGUGUUCACUUUGGUGGGAAGAGAUGUGGGAAUAUUAAAAGCUAUAGGAUCUUCACUGCAAAAGCACCACUUAGAAAGAGCAUUUCAGCUUCUGUGGAGAAAGAGAACAUGUUUAUAUGGGAACAAAGAUAAGGAAAUAAUGCAUUAUGAAAACAAAGGAAAACAUAGAAGUACUGGGAGAAAGCCAGAAGCCCUGGUGAAGUUACUGCAGCAGCAGGAGCUUCACCACUGCCUGGUACCUGAGUGAGGCCAGGGAAGUCAUUGACCUUGUGGGAAG